rnacentral:ncRNA from 1 species
GAUAACUGGCUUGUGCCUGCCAAGCGUUCAUAGCGACGUAGCUUUUUGAUCCUUCGAUGUCGGCUCUUCCUAUCACUGCCUCGCAGCGGGGCCCAAAUGCAGGAUUGUUCACCCACCAACAGGGAACGUGAGCUGGGUUUAGACCGUCGUGAGACAGGUUAGUUUUACCCUACUGCUGUCUGUUUUUCUACGGUAAUUUGGUUCAGUACGAGAGGAACCACCAAUUCGCAUCAUCGGUAUAGCCGCCGCCGGAAACGGCGAUGCGGCGAAGCUGCCAUGCGCCGGAUUAUAACUGAACGCCUCUAAGUUAGAAUCCAUGCCGGAAGGAAAGCCACCUACCGGCCCGGGGACGCCACGAGCAACGGUAGCACUGCCUGAGCCGCGAGCGACCACAAUUCACGGACCCGGGCCGACGAAUCCCUUGCAGACGACUUGAAUAAGGAACGGGGUAUUGUACGCGGCAGAGUGGCCUUGUUGCCACGAUCCGCUGAGAUUCAGCCUUGGUUCUGACGAUUUGU